rnacentral:lncRNA from 1 species
AGCAUGUAUCUUCAAUUUUGUUUGCCCACAAAGCCUCUUAAAGGCCCUAAAACCUAGCUCAGAACAGAAUCUAACUAUGGAUUGGACUUCUGCAGCUUUUCGACCAUCCGAUCACACUUUAAAUUAGAAACUGGCCGUUGAAUCUUAUCCCAUCAUGCCAAAUCAUGCAUCUGAUCUCCUUGGGAUGGCUUACAGCUAUUCGAUUGUGAUCGCGAUCAUUCAAAGCCACUCGAUCGCACAUCGAUCCAAGAAAAUCCCCCAUGAGCCAAGAGAAACCAUCUGAAAAUGCCAUCGGUCCAUCA